ACCGCGAAUGGCUCAUUAAAUCAGCUAUGGUUUAUUGGAUCGUACCCGUUAAAUGGAUAACUGUAAUAACUCUAGAGCUAAUACAUGCCACGAAGCCUUGACCCCUCUGGGGAAUGGGUGCACUUAUUAGAUCAGAAGCCAACCAGUAUUGCGUCGUGGUCGCUCCGGUGGCUACGACAAUUGCUGUAGAACUUCUGGUGACUCUGGAUAAUUGUUACAGAUCGCAGUCGGCCUUGAGUCGGCGACGGGUCCUUCAAAUGUCUGCCCUAUCAACUUUCGAUGGUAGGUGACCUGCCUACCAUGGUGAUAACGGGUAACGGGGAAUCAGGGUUCGAUUCCGGAGAGGGAGCCUGAGAAACGGCUACCACUUCCAAGGGAGGCAGCAGGCGCGCAAAUUACCCACUCCCAGCACGGGGAGGUGGUGACGAAAAAUACCGAUACGGGACUCCACAAUGAGGCUCCGUAAUCGGAAUGAGUGGAUUUUAAAUCCUUUCACGAGGAUCAAUUGGAGGGCAAGUCUGGUGCCAGCAGCCGCGGUAACUCCAGCUCCAAUAGCGUAUAUUAAAGUUGCUGCAGUUAAAAAGCUCGUAGCUGGAUCUCGGUAGCAUUGUUGCCUGUGGAUAUUUGGGCGUCAGUGUUUGGCCUACCCGCGGGCGUGCGUAUAUGUGGUGGCCUGGCGUGUGCUAAGCAUGCGUGUGGGCGCCACUUUGCGCGCGUCUUGUGUGGAGACCAUUCAACAGCGCUGGCGUUUCAAGUCUACAAGGCAGCGGUGUCACCUUUAAGCCAUGUCUGUGGUCUUACGGCUACAGGUGUAGGCGGGUGUCGGGCGGCGUCUUGCACUAGUGUGGGGCGCAGUCGGCUCGUCUGCAUGCCUUUGGAUGCUCUUCACCGGGUGUCUGUGGGCGGAUGGCACGUUUACUUUGAACAAAUUUGAGUGCUCAAAUCAGGCCGAUGUUGCCUGAAAAGUUUUGCAUGGAAUAAUGGAAUAGGACUUCGGUUCUAUUUCGUUGGUUUUCGGAUCCGAAGUAAUGAUCAAAAGAGACAGGCGGGGACGUUUGUAUGGCUGCGAUAGAGGUGAAAUUCAUUGACCGUAGCCAGACAAACUAAAGCGAAAGCAUUCGUCAAGCAUGUUUUCAUUGGCCAUGAGCGAAAGUCAGAGGCUCGAAGACGAUCAGAUACCGUCCUAGUUCUGACCAUAAACGAUGCCAACUGACGAUCCGUGGUGGUAGUCCUCAAACCUUCCCCACGGGCAGUCCCCGGGAAACCUUUAAGUCUAUGGGUUCCGGGGGAAGUAUGGUUGCAAAGCUGAAACUUAAAGGAAUUGACGGAAGGGCACCACCAGGAGUGGAGCCUGCGGCUUAAUUUGACUCAACACGGGAAAACUCACCCGGGCCGGACACUAUGAGGAUUGACAGAUUGAUAGCUCUUUCUUGAUUUGGUGGUUGGUGGUGCAUGGCCGUUCUUAGUUGGUGGAGCGAUUUGUCUGGUUAAUUCCGAUAACGAACGAGACUCCAGCCUGCUAAUUAGUGCAUCUGUCCACUGUACCUGUGUUGACGGCUCUGGACCCGGUUGCUGACGGUGGCUGGCUCACGAAGUCUGUGCGCGCGAUGCCUCGUGUGUCGUGGGCGCGGAUGUAGGGGUUGGCUAUAAGCCGAUUGGCGAUCAGUCUGGGGUCAGUCACCGGGUGCGGCGCGGAUGCUUACUUCUUAGAGGGACAAAUGGGUAAAGCCAUACGAAAUAGAGCAAUAACAGGUCUGUGAUGCCCUUAGAUGUCCGGGGCCGCACGCGCGCUACAAUGGCGGUGUCAACGAGUCAGACCUUCUGGCCCGAAAGGGUUGGGUAAACUGGUCAAUCACCGUCAUGACAGGGAUCGGGGCUUGGAAUUAUUCCCCGUGAACGAGGAAUUCCUAGUAAGUGCAAGUCAUAAGCUUGCGCUGAUUACGUCCCUGCCCUUUGUACACACCGCCCGUCGC
rnacentral:rRNA from 1 species